rnacentral:lncRNA from 1 species
UAUGAAAGGAGCAGACACCAGAAACGACGCAGGCUCCCUCCUCCAGACAGAACCACGCUCAGCGUGAAACGCACCUGGGUCAGAGUCACCUAAGAUUGGUCAGCAAACAACAGGGAGAAACGAACGUGGUGAUGGCGUCAGUUCAUGCCUCAAAGACUGCAGAGCUGGGGGAAAGAAGUGAAUGUGCUGGAAUAUUCUGGCAGCUCAGUGGAGGAAGGGCCGAGGCAUUCAGCAAGAGGGAAUUCCGCAAGCCAGACGCAGCGGAGGCGGAGGACGCAAUCCCCGCCAGCUCCUGGGACCCAAGGGCCGGGUCCCUCCCGGGCUUGUGCCCAGCUUGUCCUCUCCCAUCCCUGCCUCUGGCCCGGUAUUUGCUCCCAGCAUCCUCAGCGGCCGGCAGGGAAGGCGUCCCUGGGAGGCCACCGUGGAGUUGUAGUGGACCCAGAGGCAGUGAGGUCUGCGGAGGAGAGCACUCAACAGGUAGGUAGGCGACCUGGGCCCCACCACGCACUGCAGUGUGACCCCAAGCAGCUCAC